UACGAAGGGGGCUAGCGCUGCUCGGAAUCACUGGGCGUAAAGCGCACGUAGGCGGACUCUUAAGUCGGUGGUGAAAUCCUGGAGCUCAACUCCAGAACUGCCUUCGAUACUGAGAGUCUCGAGUCCGGGAGAGGUGAGUGGAACUGCGAGUGUAGAGGUGAAAUUCGUAGAUAUUCGCAAGAACACCAGUGGCGAAGGCGGCUCACUGGCCCGGUACUGACGCUGAGGUGCGAAAGCGUGGGGAGCAAACAGG
rnacentral:rRNA from 1 species